rnacentral:SRP_RNA from 2 species
GCCAGGCGUGGCGGCGCAUGCCUGUAAUCCCAGCUACUUGGGAGGCUGAGGCAGGAGAAUUGCUUGAGCCUGGGAGGCGGAGGUUGCAGUGAGCUGAGAUGGCGCCACUGCACUCCAGCCUGGGCGACAGAGCAAGACUCUGGCUUAA